rnacentral:misc_RNA from 1 species
UAGAAUGCGAUAUGCAAUGUGAAUUGCAGAACCACGAAUCAUCGGAUCUUUGAACGCGACUGGCGCUGAUCCAAUCAGCAUGCUUGUUUCAGUGUGCGCAAACAAAUAAUCAAUUCAAAUGUGAGAGAAAUUCUCUCAUGAAGUACAUGCUCCCUGCAGCAGUCACAUUAUUUUGUGAGCUGAAGGAUGAGAUUUAAUAUCUUAUUUUGCACCUGAAAUCAAGUAAGAUGACCCGCUGGACUUAA